CCUACGGGUGGCUGCAGUGGGGAAUCUUGCGCAAUGGACGAAAGUCUGACGCAGCGACGCCGCGUGGGUGAUGAAGGCCUUCGGGUUGUAAAGCCCUGUGGGGAGAGAAGAAUAAGGCUUGGCUAAUAUCCAAGUCGAUGACGGUAUCUCCUUAGCAAGCACCGGCUAACUCUGUGCCAGCAGCCGCGGUAAGACAGAGGGUGCAAACGUUGUUCGGAAUUACUGGGCGUAAAGCGCGUGUAGGCGGCUGUGCAAGUCGGGUGUGAAAGCCCUGG
rnacentral:rRNA from 1 species